AGAGUUUGAUCAUGGCUCAGGAUGAACGUUGGCGGCACGCUUAACACAUGCAAGUCGAACGCAACCUUCGGGUUGAGUGGCGAACGGGUGCGUAACACGUAGGCGACCUACCCUAAAGAGGGGGAUAACCUGAAGAAAUUCGGGCUAAUACCGCAUACGCUUACCAUUGUCGAGGUGGUAAGGAAAGAUUUAUCGCUUUAGGAGGGGCCUGCGGCCUAUCAGCUAGUUGGUGCGGUAACGGCGCACCAAGGCGACGACGGGUAGCUGACCUGAGAGGGUGGUCAGCCACAGGGGAACUGAGACACGGUCCCCACUCCUACGGGAGGCAGCAGUGAGGAAUAUUGGUCAAUGGGGGCAACCCUGAACCAGCGAUGCCGCGUGCAGGAUGAAGGCUUUCGGGUUGUAAACUGCUUUUGUGCGGGAGUAGCAAGGAGAGUACCGCACGAAUAAGUCACGGCUAACUACGUGCCAGCAGCCGCGGUAAUACGUAGGUGGCGAACGUUAUCCGGAAUUACUGGGCGUAAAGGGUCCGUAGGCGGAGGGGUAGGUCUGAUGUAACAACGCUCGGCUCAACUGAGCGCGGCCAUUGGAAACCGCCCGACUAGAAUCACGUCGAGGUCGGUGGAAUUCCCGGUGUAGUGGUGGAAUGCGUAGAGAUCGGGAGGAACCUCGAAAGCGAAGGCAGCCGGCUAGGCGAUGAUUGACGCUGAGGGACGAGAGCGUGGGGAGCAAACAGGAUUAGAUACCCUGGUAGUCCACGCCGUAAACGAUGUGUGCUGGGUGUGUGGGUGUAACAGCCUGUGCGCCGAAGCAAACGCGAUAAGCACACCGCCUGGGGAGUACGGCCGCAAGGCUAAAACUCAAAGAAAUUGACGGGGACCCGCACAAGCAGCGGAGCGUGUGGUUUAAUUCGAUGCGACGCGAUGAACCUUACCCAGGUUUGACAUAGCGCUGGUAGGGACCGGAAACGGAGCCGACCCGCAAGGGAGGCGUUACAGGUGCUGCAUGGCUGUCGUCAGCUCGUGUCGUGAGAUGUUGGGUUAAGUCCCGCAACGAGCGCAACCCCUAGCGUAUGUUUUACGAGUCAUGCGCGACUGCCCGCCCAAAGCGGGAGGAAGGUGGGGAUGAUGUCAAGUCAGCAUGGCCUUUAUAUCUGGGGCGACACACACGCUACAAUGGCGCGUACAAUGGGCAGCGACCUUGCGAAGGGGAGCGAAUCUCGAAAGCGCGUCACAGUUCGGAUUGGAGUCUGCAACUCGACUCCAUGAAGGCGGAGUUGCUAGUAACCGCGCGUCAGCCAUAGUGCGGUGAAUGCGUUCCCGGGUCUUGUACACACCGCCCGUCACGUCAUGGAAGCCGGUAAUACCUGAAGUCGGGUAAGUAACCUUUCGAGGAGCUGCCUGCCGAGGGUAGGACUGGUGACUGGGACGAAGUCGUAACAAGGUAGCAGUACCGGAAGGUGCGGYUGGAUCACCUCCUU
rnacentral:rRNA from 1 species